AUCUUCUUCAGAGGUCUUCUUCCAAAGUUAAAAAUGGCGUCAAAUUCGUCCUCGAUAAGUAACGUUAAAGUUGGCGAAUUACCCGCCUAUUUACAGAAGGCAAAGUUAGGGAAGAUUCCCAGUGGUUUCUUGGGCAUGGUAUCUCGCUAUCAGCAGAAAUAUAUCCUUUGUAAGAACGGAAGAUUUACACCAUUUUUCCAUGUUGCCGGCCUUUGUAUGUUUGUGAAUUACUGGAUCGAAUAUAAGCAUUUGAAGCACACCAGUAUGUGGCGAAAGUACCAUUAAUAGUGUGAAGAAGAACAUGCAGACAUGCAGGGAAACAUUUGAACAGUUUUGAUGGUCGUUUUCUAAAGUUUUAAAAGAACUGAUGUUAAGAAACAGAAUCAUGUCUUGUUUGAAGAAUCAUUAAAUUAUGGCUUUAUUUUCGAU